AUUGAACGCUGGCGGCAGGCCUAACACAUGCAAGUCGAACGGUAACAGGAAGCAGCUUGCUGCUUUGCUGACGAGUAGCGGACGGGUGAGUAAUGUCUGGGAAACUGCCCGAUGGAGGGGGAUAACUACUGGAAACGGUAGCUAAUACCGCAUAACGUCGCAAGACCAAAGAGGGGGACCUUAGGGCCUCUUGCCAUCGGAUGUGCCCAGAUGGGAUUAGCUAGUAGGUGGGGUAACGGCUCACCUAGGCGACGAUCCCUAGCUGGUCUGAGAGGAUGACCAGCCACACUGGAACUGAGACACGGUCCAGACUCCUACGGGAGGCAGCAGUGGGGAAUAUUGCACAAUGGGCGCAAGCCUGAUGCAGCCAUGCCGCGUGUAUGAAGAAGGCCUUCGGGUUGUAAAGUACUUUCAGCGGGGAGGAAGGGAGUAAAGUUAAUACCUUUGCUCAUUGACGUUACCCGCAGAAGAAGCACCGGCUAACUCCGUG
rnacentral:rRNA from 1 species